AUGCCAGUCUCAGAGAUGAAGGUGACCUCCCACAUGAGCGCUGACCCAGUGAAUGAGAUAAAAGGGAGGGAGACAAUGAGGAAAGAGAAAAAAACGCACAGCAGUUAUGUCCCCUACUAAAUAUGGUGGACUUUGCUUGUGCCUCCAGACACUCAUAGCAUCACACCAUGGAACUGUUCCCCACCAUCCUACCAGGACUAGCUUUGAAAGAGGACACCUGCUAAAAGUUUCAACUUUUUAAUUACAAGAUCUUCACAGAUUCUUCCAUGAAGGAGGGAGGAUACAAGAGGAGGAGAGGAAAGCACAUGUACAGCUCCACGAGAGCUGACUAAUAAGCUGAACCAUCAGAGUCAUGGAGGCCAGAACGUGGUUGGACGAGAUGAACGUGUCCACUAGUCUGGACUCCAGGAAGAAAUGGUUACAAGUAAGGGAUGUUACUGACCUAUGGUCCCAGGUAUGAUCAACUCUGGUUUGGUAAUCUGCCCACUGGAAGUUUAAUGGACUGUAAAUAAAACAGUGAUUUCAACAG